UUCUAUGGAUGUGCCACUCUAAACAUGCCCGAUGUUGGAUCUUGGAAGCUAAGCAGAGUCGAGCCUGGUUACUACUUGGAUGGGAGAACACUUAGGAAGACCAGGUGCUGUAGGCA
rnacentral:rRNA from 1 species